GAUGAGGGAAUGCCACAUCACCAGAGGCCUUUUAUCAAGGGCAGGCUCUUCAUCCAUUUUAAUGUGGAAUUUCCAGAGUCUGGAUUCCUCUCACCUGAGAAGUGCAAAAGUUUGGAGACCGUUUUGCCUGUAAAGCCCAUGAAACACUCUUCUGAUAUUGAUAUGGAAGAUUGCGAAGAAACCACCAUGCAUGAUGUUAAUAUGGAAGAAGAGUUGAGGCGGAAGGAACAUCAAAGAAAGCAAGAAGCUUAUGAUGAAGAUGAUGAAG
rnacentral:lncRNA from 1 species